UAGGGAAUCUUCGGCAAUGGGCGAAAGUCUGACCGAGCAACGCCGCGUGAGUGAAGAAGGUUUUCGGAUCGUAAAACUCUGUUGGUAGAGAAGAACGUUGGUGAGAGUGGAAAGCUCAUCAAGUGACGGUAACUACCCAGAAAGGGACGGCUAACUACGUGCUAG
rnacentral:rRNA from 1 species